UACAGGGCUGUUGGGGUGCGUACAGGCAACGCAGGGCCGUGUUUUGAUUCUGUCCUGCGCUGGUGGUGCCCCCUGUCCCGGGGGUGGUGGCGGUGGGGCUGGUGGCCCCCGGCCCAUUAACUGCAGCCACUGUGCUGCCCUGGCCACUGCCCCCAAAUUGUCUGUGCCACACCUUAGAGACGGUGUGUGUGAACACCAUCGGAUGUGUCCCCUUGGAUUUCCAACUGGAAUUGUGAAGAUCCAGGCCCGUGUGCUGCCUCAAGUCAUAGAAUCAUAGAACCACCAGGUUGGAAAAGCCCUUUGAGAUCAUGGAGCCAACCAUACCUUGCAGCAGCACCCAGGACGUAACCAGUGUUCCCUGUGACAAACGCUGUGACUGUUGUCACAGACUGCUGCUGCGUCUGGCCCUCGCUUCCCCCCAUGGAGCACACGUAUUGAUGCUUCGUCCAGACUGAUGUGACAGUUUCAGGGGUACCAUCCACGGGCUCUUUGGCACCUUUCCGUUCUGCUGGAUUUCACCCUCAAUGUGUAUUUUCUGAUCAUCACCAUCCUUGGUCGGAUGCCAUUUAGACACCAGUCCAACUCAUCAAACAACUUGUUUUCCUGCUCAGAGCCUUGGACUCAGCACAGUUAACCUCUGAGGAACCUUGUCAUCUUCAGUUUGA